AUACGUAGGGGGCGAGCGUUGUCCGGAAUGAUUGGGCGUAAAGGGCGCGUAGGCGGCCCGGUAAGUCUGGAGUGAAAGUCCUGCUUUCAAGGUGGGAAUUGCUUUGGAUACUGCCGCGCUUGAGUGCAGGAGAGGUUAUCGGAAUUCCCGGUGUAGCGGUGAAAUGCGUAGAGAUCGGGAGGAACACCAGUGGCGAAGGCGGGUAACUGGACUGCAACUGACGCUGAGGCGCGAAAGUGUGGGGAGCAAACAGGAUUAGAUACCCUGGUAGUCCACACUGUAAACGAUGAAUGCUAGGUGUAAGAGGUAUCGACCCCUUUUGUGCCGGAGUUAACACAAUAAGCAUUCCGCCUGGGGAGUACGGCCGCAAGGUUGAAACUCAAAUGAAUUGACGGGG
rnacentral:rRNA from 1 species